rnacentral:rRNA from 1 species
UACAGAGGGUGCGAGCGUUAAUCGGAAUUACUGGGCGUAAAGCGCACGUAGGUGGCGACGUAAGUCGGGUGUGAAAGCCCCGGGCUCAACCUGGGAACUGCAUUCGAAACUGCACUGCUAGAGUAUGGAAGAGGGAAGUGGAAUUUCCGGUGUAGCGGUGAAAUGCGUAGAUAUCGGAAGGAACACCAGUGGCGAAAGCGACUUCCUGGUCCAAUACUGACGUUCAUGUGCGAAAGCGUGGGGAGCAAACAGG